GGGUUUCGGUUGCACUUGCAGCCGGGAGGUUUUUUGCAUUGGUCGGGCCGCCAGUG
rnacentral:ncRNA from 2 species